GACGAACGCUGGCGGCGUGCCUAAUACAUGCAAGUCGAACGCACUCUCGUUUAGAUUGAAGGAGCUUGCUCCUGAUUGAUAAACAUUUGAGUGAGUGGCGGACGGGUGAGUAACACGUGGGUAACCUGCCCUAAAGUGGGGGAUAACAUUUGGAAACAGAUGCUAAUACCGCAUAAAACCUAACACCGCAUGGUGUAGGGUUGAAAGAUGGUUUCGGCUAUCACUUUAGGAUGGACCCGCGGUGCAUUAGUUAGUUGGUGAGGUAAAGGCUCACCAAGACCGUGAUGCAUAGCCGACCUGAGAGGGUAAUCGGCCACACUGGGACUGAGACACGGCCCAGACUCCUACGGGAGCAGCAGUAGGGAAUCUUCCACAAUGGACGAAAGUCUGAUGGAGCAACGCCG
rnacentral:rRNA from 1 species